rnacentral:rRNA from 1 species
UACGUAGGGGGCAAGCGUUAAUCGGAAUUACUGGGCGUAAAGCGUGCGCAGGCGGUUUGGCAAGAGAGAUGUGAAAUCCCAGAGCUUAACUUUGGAACUGCAUUUUUAACUGCCAAGCUAGAGUAUGUCAGAGGGGGGUAGAAUUCCACGUGUAGCAGUGAAAUGCGUAGAGAUGUGGAGGAACACCGAUGGCGAAGGCAGCCCCCUGGGCCGAUACUGACGCUCAGGCACGAAAGCGUGGGGAGCAAACAGG